GACGAACGCUGACGGCGUGCCUAAUCCAUGCAAGUAGAACGCAGUUGCGACCGGGUGAGUAACGCGUAGGUACCCGCCUGCGCGCGGGGGGUAACUAUUGGAAACGAUAGAUCAUACCGCAUACUACCACAUGGACCUGCGUUGUAUUAGCUAGUUUGUGAGGUAACGGCUCACCAAGGCAACGAUACAUAGCCGACCUGUGAGGGUGAUCGGCCACACUGGGACUGAGACAAGGCCCAGACUCCUGCGGGAGGCAGCAGUAGGGAAUCUUCGGGAAUGGGGGGAACCCUGACCGAGCAACGCCGCGUGAGUGGAGAAGGUUUUCGGAGCGUAAAGCUCUGUUGUUAAGGAAGCGGUACUUAACCAGAAAGGGACGGCUAACUACGUGCCAGCCGCCGCGGUAAUUC
rnacentral:rRNA from 1 species